rnacentral:rRNA from 1 species
UACGAAGGGGGCUAGCGUUGCUCGGAAUCACUGGGCGUAAAGCGCACGUAGGCGGCUUUCUAAGUCAGGGGUGAAAUCCUGGAGCUCAACUCCAGAACUGCCUUUGAUACUGGAGAGCUAGAGUCCGGAAGAGGUGAGUGGAACUGCGAGUGUAGAGGUGAAAUUCGUAGAUAUUCGCAAGAACACCAGUGGCGAAGGCGGCUCACUGGUCCGGUACUGACGCUGAGGUGCGAAAGCUAGGGGAGCGAACAGG